UACGGAGGGUGCAAGCGUUGUUCGGAAUUACUGGGCGUAAAGCGCGCGCAGGCGGUCUUGCAAGUCAGGGGUGAAAGCCCGGGGCUCAACCUCGGAACUGCCUUUGAGACUGUGAGACUCGAGACCGAGAGAGGAGAGUGGAAUUCCCAGUGUAGAGGUGAAAUUCGUAGAUAUUGGGAAGAACACCAGUGGCGAAGGCGGCUCUCUGGCUCGGUACUGACGCUGAGGCGCGAAAGCGUGGGGAGCAAACAGG
rnacentral:rRNA from 1 species